UUGUAUAUUCCAUGAGGGAAUAUUAUGUAUUUAAUUGUUUUGAUUGUAAAGAGGACAACCAAGGCAUAACAAAUAUGACACAUCUUAUUACCAUAGACGAUACACUUUCAACUUCAGGGUCUUCUAAGAAUUAUUCCUUGGAAACUUUAUUAAUUUGGUCUUAGUUCGAUUCUUUUACACUCCAACAUCUACGUUUUUAUUUCACUAUGCAGCUUAUUCUGUUUGCUGAUAUCGAUAGCUCCUUGGUUGCUAGGGAGGCCAGUAAAUAGAUAUUAGGAGGAAGAAGAGAGACGACAUCGCCAUCUUGCGGAAAGAAGACGUUUCUCGGGCUGGGGCAAAUCAAAGCCUUGGUUGCCGCCCGAGAAAUAGAAGAUUUCGCGUCAUCCGCGAUCGUGUCCUGCUUAGCAUUCUCCUCUCUACGAGUUGAGAGAAUUGUAUCUGGAUUAAAUAAAUCCUAGAUAGGGAGUAUCGGCGACUUCGAGUGCCAACUUCCGCGUCGGUCCCGUUUUCGUCUCGUAGUGGUUCCAGACAUCUGAGGGCAGCGCCAGCUGAGAUUCGACCACGAAGAUUGGUGAGACCAAUCCAGAAUUAGACCAGACUUUCCAGGACGAGAGGGAUGUCGAGUCUUCAGCUGAUACCCGGCGACCUCAGCACCCCUGUAGUUCGCUAAUUACAGCAUUACAGCAUCCAGAGUUCCAGUGUAGCAGCAGACCACCUGGAGGUCCUGUGAAGAGAGCCUCAAGCCUCCGACUACGGAUAGCUAGACCCGGCAGUAUAUUCGACGUGUUCUAGUGACGUCACUUGCAUCUAAUUUCCGACACCUAGAUUUGACACCUUGGUUGUUUCUCAAUUAAUCUCAUUUUAAACGUAACUUCACACCAAUAUUUAAGAACCAUUAAAAUCAUAUGUUUUUCAAUUAUUAUUUCAUUUAUAAGCAAAUUUCCACUAUUCACGUAACACCACUAAAUUUACUUUUUAUAAUUACUCUCCAUACAGUAACCCAGGGCAGUGACGUGCUAGCUGGACUAUCAGUCUGGGCAGAUCAUCCAGCAGUAGCGGUCCUGGUAUUUACUGCAACGAGGGUAGGCGCCAAGAACCCCAUGAGAACGCAACAAUAAUUAUUUACAGUUGGCCACACAGAUGAAGUUUUGGACGAUCCUUCACAAAAUGCAUGUUCGUUCGAAUCAACUCCUACUGCCUCAGGUGUGCGACAACAUAUUACACCUCCAGAAUGCACAUCUGCCAGUAGUGACGAGCAAGUGAGACCAACCCCUCGAUUAAAACGCCCGAAAAAGCAGGACGAAUCCGACAGGAUCCUAACAUUGGUGGGGGAACGUCUUGAAAAUGCCAAACGUGAGGAUCAACAUGAUAUUUUUGGCAAACAUAUUGCUGCGAAACUUCGUGAGCUGCAACCUUCCCAAAGAAUUUUCGCAGAGAAGAUAAUGAAUGAUGCCAUUUUCGAAGCUCAGAUGGGAAAUUUGAACAGAGGCAGCCAAAUUGUUUCGUUGCAGAAUCCUAACACCACCUUCCAGAUGUUUCACUCGCAGUUUACGCCACCUGAUCUUGUUCUUGAAGGUCCCCAGAUUGAAAUUGUGGAAUCACAAGAAAGCUCUGAAACAUUUCCAUCAUGAGCAUUUCAUAAAAAUUGAAGAUGUAUUGGAAUUGAAGUAUGUUUUUUAUCACAUUUAUUACAUUUUGUUUUGGUGAAAUAUUUGUUAGUGUGUUUCCAUGUCAUUGUAGCGUAACAAACAAAUAAAUGUGAUAAUGCAA